GACGAACGCUGGCGGCGUGCUUAACACAUGCAAGUCGAACGGAAAGGCCCUGCUUGCGGGGUACUCUAGUGUCGAACGGGUGAGUAACACGUGUGUGUUCUGCGCUGCACUUCUGGGUAAGCCUUGGAAACUGGGGCGAAUACCGGGGAUGAGCCAUCUUGAGGGUGGGGGUGGGAAAGUUUUUUUGGGGUGGGGGGAGUUUGCGGCCUAUCAGCUUGUUUGUUGGGUAAGUGCCUACCAAGGCGGGGAUUGGUGGGCGGCCCGGCUGGGGGGACGGCCCACAUGGGACCGGGAAAAGGCCCAGAACUCCAACGGGGGGCGGAAGGGGGAAAAUUGGCCAAUGGGCGCGAGGCUGAUGCAGCGAAGCCGCGGGGGGGAAGAAGGCCCUUGGGUUGUAAAACCGUUUUGCCAGGGACCAAGCUUUUUGUGACGGUAACUAGAUAAGAAGCACCGGCUAACUACGUG
rnacentral:rRNA from 1 species